rnacentral:rRNA from 1 species
UACGGAGGGUGCGAGCGUUAAUCGGAAUUACUGGGCGUAAAGCGCACGCAGGCGGCUUGUUAAGCUAGAGGUGAAAGCCCGCGACCUCAACGUGGGAACUGCCUUUAGAACUGGCAGGCUAGAGUCUUGGAGAGGGGAGUUGGAAUUCCAGGUGUAGCGGUGAAAUGCGUAGAUAUCUGGAGGAACAUCAGUGGCGAAGGCGGCUCCCGUGGCCAAAGACUGACGCUCAGUGUGCGAAAGUGUGGGUAGCGAAACAGUUGAGAUA